rnacentral:rRNA from 1 species
UGGGGAAUAUUGCACAAUGGGCGCAAGCCUGAUGCAGCCAUGCCGCGUGUAUGAAUAAGGCCUUCGGGUUGUAAAGUACUUUCAGCGGGGAGGAAGGGAGUAAAGUUAAUACCUUUGCUCAUUGACGUUACCCGCAGAAGAAGCACCGGCUAACUCCGUGCCAGCAGCCGCGGUAAUACGGAGGGUGCAAGCGUUAAUCGGAAUUACUGGGCGUAAAGCGCACGCAGGCGGUUUGUUAAGUCAGAUGUGAAAUCCCCGGGCUCAACCUGGGAACUGCAUCUGAUACUGGCAAGCUUGAGUCUCGUAGAGGGGGGUAGAAUUCCAGGUGUAGCGGUGAAAUGCGUAGAGAUCUGGAGGAAUACCGGUGGCGAAGGCGGCCCCCUGGACAAAGACUGACGCUCAGGUGCGAAAGCGUGGGGAGCAAACAGG